AACGAACGCUGGCGGCAUGCCUAACACAUGCAAGUCGAACGAGACCUCCGGGUCUAGUGGCGCACGGGUGUGUCACGCGUGGGAACCUGCCCUUAGGUUCGGAAUAACUCCCCGACAGGGGUGCUAAUACCGGAUAAUGUCUUCGACCCAAAGAUUUAUCGCCCUUGUAUGGGCCCGCGUUGAAUUAGCUAGUUGUUAGGGUAAAAGCCUAACAAGGCGACGAUCCAUAGCUGGUCUGAGAGACAGAUCAGCGACACUGAGACUGGGACACGGCCCAGAAUCUUACGCGAGGCGGGAGUGGGUAACAUUGGAAAAUGGGGGAAAGCAUGAUCCAGCAAUGACGGGAAAGUUAUGAAGGUCUGAAGGAAGAAAAGCGCUUUUAACCGGGAUGAUAAUGACAGUACCGGGAGAAUAAGCUACGGCUAACUCCGUG
rnacentral:rRNA from 1 species